GUAUGUCAAGAAAGGAGGGAAAGUUAUCUCUCUUCUUGACAAGGUUGGAAGAAAACCCAUGGGCCCAUACAAUAUACACAUGGUUAAGGCAUGGCCUCAUACUCUGCAGCAUUUAACCAUGGGUUUUC